AGCAGUCGCCGCGGGAAUACGUAGGGUGCAAGCGUUAAUCGGAAUUACUGGGCGUAAAGCGUGCGCAGGCGGUUAUAUAAGUCAGAUGUGAAAUCCCCGGGCUCAACCUGGGAACUGCAUUUGAGACUGUAUGGCUAGAGUGUGUCAGAGGGGGGUAGAAUUCCACGUGUAGCAGUGAAAUGCGUAGAUAUGUGGAGGAAUACCGAUGGCGAAGGCAGCCCCCUGGGAUAACACUGACGCUCAUGCACGAAAGCGUGGGGAGCAAACAGGAUUAGAUACCCGUGUAGUCCCUGUCUCUUAUAC
rnacentral:rRNA from 1 species